GACGAACGCUGGCGGCGUGCCUAAUACAUGCAAGUUGAGCGCUGAAGGUUGGUACUUGUACCAACUGGAUGAGCAGCGAACGGGUGAGUAACGCGUGGGGAAUCUGCCUUUGAGCGGGGGACAACAUUUGGAAACGAAUGCUAAUACCGCAUAAAAACUUUAAACACAAGUUUUAAGUUUGAAAGAUGCAAUUGCAUCACUCAAAGAUGAUCCCGCGUUGUAUUAGCUAGUUGGUGAGGUAAAGGCUCACCAAGGCGAUGAUACAUAGCCGACCUGAGGGGGUGAUCGGCCACAUUGGGACUGAGACACGGCCCAAACUCCUACGGGAGGCAGCAGUAGGGAAUCUUCGGCAAUGGACGAAAGUCUGACCGGGCAACGCCGCGUGAGUGAAGAAGGUUUUCGGAUCGUAAAACUCUGUUGGUAGAGAAGAACGUUGGUGAGAGUGGAAAGCUCAUCAAGUGACGGUAACUACCCAGAAAGGGACGGCUAACUACGUG
rnacentral:rRNA from 1 species